GGCACUACCACUACCACCACUCGCUCUGUCUACACCGUGUGUAACGGCUCUCUGAGUGAAUACGGAGUGCUAGGUGUAAGGCACUACCACUACCACCACUCGCUUUGUCUACACCGUGUGUAACGGCUCUCUGAGUGAAUACGGAGCGCUAGGUAUAAGGCACUACCACUACCACCACUCGCUCUGUCUACACCGUGUGUAACGGCUCUCUGAGUGAAUACGGAGCGCUAGGUGUAAGGCACUACCACUACCACCACUCGCUCUGUCUACACCGUGUGUAACGGCUCUCUGAGUGAAUACGGAGUGCUAGGUGUAAGGCACUACCACUACCACCACUCGCUCUGUCUACACCGUGUGUAGCGGCUCUCUGAGUGAAUACGGAGCGCUAGGUGUAAGGCACUACCACUACCACCACUCGCUCUGUCUACACCGUGUGUAACGGCUCUCUGAGUGAAUACGGAGUGCUAGGUGUAAGGCACUACCACUACCACCACUCGCUCUGUCUACACCGUGUGUAACGGCUCUCUGAGUGAAUACGGAGUGCUAGGUGUAAGGCACUACCACUACCACCACUCGCUCUGUCUACACUGUGUGUAACGGCUCUCUGAGUGAAUACGGAGUGCUAGGUGUAAGGCACUACCACUACCACCACUCGCUCUGUCUACACCGUGUGUAACGGCUCUCUGAGUGAAUACGGAGUGCUAGGUGUAAGGCACUACCACUACCACCACUCGCUCUGUCUACACCGUGUGUAACGGCUCUCUGAGUGAAUACGGAGUGCUAGGUGUAAGGCACUACCACUACCACCACUCGCUUUGUCUACACCGUGUGUAACGGCUCUCUGAGUGAAUACGGAGUGCUAGGUGUAAGGCACUACCACUACCACCACUCGCUUUGUCUACACCGUGUGUAACGGCUCUCUGAGUGAAUACGGAGUGCUAGGUGUAAGGCACUACCACUACCACCACUCGCUCUGUCUACACCGUGUGUAACGGCUCUCUGAGUGAAUACGGAGUGCUAGGUGUAAGGCACUACCACUACCACCACUCGCUCUGUCUACACCGUGUGUAACGGCUCUGUGAGUGAAUACGGAGUGCUAGGUGUAAGGCACUACCACUACCACCACUCGCUCUGUCUACACCGUGUGAGUGAAUACGGAGCGCUAGGUGUAAGGCACUACCACUACCACCACUCGCUCUGUCUACACCGUGUGUAACGGCUCUCUGAGUGAAUACGGAGCGCUAGGUGUAAGGCACUACCACUACCACCACUCGCUCUGUCUACACCGUCUGUAACGGCUCUCUGAGUGAAUACGGAGUGCUAGGUGUAAGGCACUACCACUACCACCACUCGCUCUGUCUACACCGUGUGUAACGGCUCUGUGAGUGAAUACGGAGCGCUAGGUGUAAGGCACUACCACUACCACCACUCGCUUUGUCUACACCGUGUGUAACGGCUCUGUGAGUGAAUACGGAGCGCUAGGUGUAAGGCACUACCACUACCACCACCCUCUCCCUUCUCACCCCCCCGC